ACGGGUGAGUAACGCGUGGGUAACCUGCCUUGUACUGGGGGACAACAGUUAGAAAUGACUGCUAAUACCGCAUAAGCGCACAGUAUCGCAUGAUACAGUGUGAAAAACUCCGGUGGUACAAGAUGGACCCGCGUCUGAUUAGCUAGUUGGUAAGGUAAGGGCUUACCAAGGCGACGAUCAGUAGCCGACCUGAGAGGGUGACCGGCCACAUUGGGACUGAGACACGGCCCAA
rnacentral:rRNA from 1 species